rnacentral:rRNA from 1 species
UGCAGUCGAGCGGCAGCGGGAAAGUAGCUUGCUACUUUUGCCGGCGAGCGGCGGACGGGUGAGUAAUGCCUGGGAAAUUGCCCAGUCGAGGGGGAUAACAGUUGGAAACGACUGCUAAUACCGCAUACGCCCUACGGGGGAAAGCAGGGGACCUUCGGGCCUUGCGCGAUUGGAUAUGCCCAGGUGGGAUUAGCUAGUUGGUGAGGUAAUGGCUCACCAAGGCGACGAUCCCUAGCUGGUCUGAGAGGAUGAUCAGCCACACUGGAACUGAGACACGGUCCAGACUCCUACGGGAGGCAGCAGUGGGGAAUAUUGCACAAUGGGGGAAACCCUGAUGCAGCCAUGCCGCGUGUGUGAAGAAGGCCUUCGGGUUGUAAAGCACUUUCAGCGAGGAGGAAAGGUCAGUAGCUAAUAUCUGCUGACUGUGACGUUACUCGCAGAAGAAGCACCGGCUAACUCCGUGCCAGCAGCCGCGGUAAUAC